rnacentral:rRNA from 1 species
GUCCAUGCCGUAAACGUUGGGCACUAGGUGUGGGGCUCAUUCCACGAGUUCCGUGCCGCAGCAAACGCAUUAAGUGCCCCGCCUGGGGAGUACGGCCGCAAGGCUAAAACUCAAAGAAAUUGACGGGGGCCCCGCACAAGCGGCGGAGCAUGCGGAUUAAUUCGAUGCAACGCGAAGAACCUUACCAAGGCUUGACAUACACCGGAAAAGUGCAGAGAUGUGCUCCCCGCAAGGUCGGUGUACAGGUGGUGCAUGGUUGUCGU